rnacentral:rRNA from 1 species
UACGUAGGGGGCAAGCGUUGUCCGGAUUUAUUGGGCGUAAAGAGCGUGUAGGCGGCUAGAUAGGUCCGUUGUGAAAACUCGAGGCUCAACCUCGAGACGUCGAUGGAAACCAUCUGGCUAGAGUCCGGAAGAGGAGAGUGGAAUUCCUGGUGUAGCGGUGAAAUGCGUAGAGAUCAGGAGGAACACCCGUGGCGAAGGCGGCCCCCUGGGUCGGCCCUGACGCUGAGGCGCGAAAGCGUGGGGAGCGAACGGG